UACAGAGGUCUCAAGCGUUGUUCGGAUUCAUUGGGCGUAAAGAGCUCGUAGGCGGUUCGGCAAGUCGGGUGUGAAAACUCCAGGCUCAACCUGGAGACGCCACCCGAUACUGCUGUGACUCGAGUCCGGUAGGGGACCACGGAAUUCCUGGUGUAGCGGUGAAAUGCGCAGAUAUCAGGAGGAACACCGGUGGCGAAGGCGGUGGUCUGGGCCGGAACUGACGCUGAGGAGCGAAAGCGUGGGGAGCGAACAGG
rnacentral:rRNA from 1 species